rnacentral:tRNA from 1 species
GUCACGAUCCAAAAGGUUGAAAUCCGGACCAUAAAUCUGGAAAGCGCUGGUUCGAGCCCAGCUCGUGAUA